rnacentral:rRNA from 1 species
GUAGGGAAUAUUGCGCAAUGGACGAAAGUCUGACGCAGCGACGCCGCGUGAGUGAUGAAGGCCUUAGGGUCGUAAAGCUCUGUUGAAUGGGAAGAAAAAAAUGACGGUACCAUUCGAGGAAGGACCGGCUAACUUCGUGUCAGCAGCCGCGGUAAUACGAGGGGUCCUAGCGUUGUUCGGAAUCAUUGGGCGUAAAGGGUGUGUAGGUGGCCAUGUAAGUCAGGUGUGAAAGCCCCGGGCUCAACCCGGGAAGUGCACUUGAUACUGCGUGGCUUGAGUACCGAAGAGGGUAGUGGAAUUCCAGGUGUAGUGGUGAAAUACGUAGAUAUCUGGAGGAACACCGGUGGCGAAGGCGGCUACCUGGUCGAGUACUGACACUGAGACACGAAAGCAUGGGGAUCAAACAGGAUUAGAAACCCCUGUAGUCC